GAUGAACGCUAGCGGCAGGCCUAAUACAUGCAAGUCGAACGGUGUCUUCGGACAUAGUGGCGCACGGGUGCGUAACACGUAUGCAACCUACCUUACAUUGGGGGAUAGCCUUUCGAAAGGGAGAUUAAUGCCGCAUAAGACAGUAGCUGGGCAUCCAGCAGCUGUUAAAGAUUUAUCGAUGUAAGCUGGGCAUGCGUCCAAUUAGCUAGUUGGGGAGGUAACGGCUCACCAAGGCAAUGAUUGGUAGGGGAACUGAGAGGUCAAUCCCCCACACUGGCACUGAGUUACGGGCCAGACUCCUACGGGAGGCAGCAGUAGGGAAUAUUGGGCAAUGGACGCAAGUCUGACCCAGCCAUGCCGCGUGCAGGAUGAAGGCGUUAUGCGUUGUAAACUGCUUUUAUACAGGAAGAAACGACUCUUGCGAGAGGCAUUGACGGUACUGUAUGAAUAAGCACCGGCUAACUCCGUGCCAGCCGCCGCAGUAAAAC
rnacentral:rRNA from 1 species